UCCUGAUACCUCUCACAUGUCAGUAUCAGCACAAACCGAUGCGACCCUCCACCACCCCAUCACCUCCAGAUUCAUCACAUCAGAGCAAUCCUGCUCCAUUUCAUUCAUCGGAUCUGCAUCAAUCUUCACUACCACCAUCACCAGUGUCUAAACCCGGGGGAAUAAUCCUAAAUCCUACUACGGCAUCACUUCCCCCUUAUCAUGUCACAUUGGGUCUAAAUCACCAAAGACUGUUACUAUUCAUAAUU